CCGUCAUCCUUCAUGUGUUGAAGGCAAAAGAAGUCCCAUGGAAAUUAGGGAUACUGAGGCAGAGGAAGAAGAAAAGCAGGUCAGGUGGUUUAGCACGUGUCUCCGUGGGUUGUGUGAGCAGUCCCAGCACCAAAACCAAGCAGCGAAUUGGUGCUCCUUGUGCAGCUGUGGGUGGUUAAGCAGCAAAGCUCUCAGGGCCCCCUGACUGCCAUAGGGAGUGCUCCCAGCUGCAGCGGGGAGAGAAGCUGGGGCAGGAUGGGUUUGCUGGGGGGGCUUCUGCUGGUCCUGUGGUCCCAAGCAGCAGGCGAUAAUGAGCAGCCUCUUCUCCAGCCACCCAGAAGGAGCUGGUGAGCUCUGGCCCUGCAGCUGCCUGGACAACGUGGGAAAGGUCACCCCAAACCCUGUCUGUGUUACGCCACUUCUGUAUCGUGCCCUGCUCCACAAAGCACUGGUGGAACAGUGGAAGAUGGUAAAUAUAUGCCAAGAUGUGAUGUGUUGCCAAGCAUCAGGAUGAUGUUGAGCCUAUUGGACAAGGACCCAAAUGGACUGCAUGGUGGUUUGAAGCAGGAUUAAAAAACAAAAGUCUGUGCCCCUCUUCUUUGCUAAUUGCCAGGGGAUAUUUGGGGGACUCCACCUAGCCCUGUCUCUGUGAGGAUACAGAGGCUAGGGCAGGAACACUGUCCCUGCGGAGCUGGAGUAAGGUGGAUGCUGUGGUCAUGGUGGUGCCCACCUGUGUGCAUGGGGCUGCCUGGCAGCAAUGGAGUGGUGAUCAGUGGGGUACUAACAUAGUGCAUGGGGAGAGCAGCACCAAACGUGGGGCGGGCUGAGGCUGUGUAUGGUUCCUAGGCUGGGCAGGAACAGUACAGUUACAAGUAAAGUACAUUGUUUAUAAUGUAAAUAUUCUUUUUUUUUAAGGUUUUCCCCAAAGUUCUUCAGUAGUUCUUAUUAGCAAAUAUGACACAUACCAGUCUCCGAAAAGUGGCAGUGAGAGGAGCUAGUGGGAAGAGUACGUAAAUAUGAAUUAUUUAAAAAAACAAAAAACAAACAAAAAACUUUAGAAGUUUAUUCUCUGGCUGUUUCUUGCCAUGGUAUCUGACUAACUAUCAUGUUACCAAAGGAGUGCACAAACCUGCAAGCCUUGCUGUUUGGAGUGUCUUGAUAGGUCUGCUUUUUUUUAUAUUUUAUGGAAAUAGAUACAACUUUGCUAUUAUCAGUCUGAUUCUCUUUUGAAUUUUGAAUUACUUUUUUUUUUUAACUAAUAGUCUGUUUUAUGUAAACCUCUUAGAGAUUAGGAGUUGAUUUCAAAGAUCAUCCUCUAUAAAGUCUCUUGAUCAUAUUUUAUGGUUCCUGUAACUCAUGGGUGUAAUCUCAUAUCCCUGGGAUAUUUAUGACAUGUUCGCCUAAUUCCCCAUGGUAGCUAAUCUCACUUCUCUACCUUAAAAAUAUUAAAAUAUCUUUAAAGCAAGACUGGUAAAAAGGCAACUUUUACAGCCAAUCUUCAGCUCCAAUUGCUCCUGCUGAGGAAGUCAUAAUGAUGAAUUUGUGACAUAAUUUCUGCGGCAACAUGCUGGGAUUUCAUAAAUGGGGAUGGUGAUUAUAGAGCAGGAUCAGGUGAAGCAGGAUUGUGAUGGAAAAAGCCUUGAUUCAAAUGCAAAUUGUUCAAUAAUGGCAUAGGGGAUACCAGAAAUUACUGGCAAUUUAUUUUAUUUGGGUUAAGCUCCUCAUUCAGUCUUCUCCGGUCGGAAAGUCACUCUUUUAAGGAAACAAGCAAAAGAAAUGGCUAGAAAACAAAUCUCUCUCUCUUGAGAGAAUGAAAUUGUUCUAAUUCACUAAUAAUUAAUCUGUUAGUGUAAUUGUCAUUAAUGUUUAGCAUUUCUAUGACUCAUCCUAUUGAAGACUCUCCAAGUGCUUCGCAGACCCUAAUUGAUUCCACCUUCCCUGGAGCAGGAUCCCAUAAUCUACCCCAAUUUCUGGAGACAGCGAGAAGCACGGGCUAGGCACAGAGGCUAAAUGAUUUUCCCAGGGUUGGACCGGGAGCUGGAGUUCAGGUCUACACUUCAUAGACCAGCCUCUACCUAGCUGGGCUUCGGCAGCCGGACGGUGAAUGCUGGCACCACGAGGUGAUGUGAUGCUGGUUGCAGCCUUGGAGCAAAUCUGGCAGCGUUCUGCUGUCUGGCACGAGGAGAGAAAGCUGGUGCAGCUGCCACCAGCCUCAUGGGCACGUGUCAGCAGUGUCACCAGCAGAACUGGCUGCUAGUUGGUUAUUCUUUAUGACAUUAGAAGCAAGCUGGCUUGUUUGGGGUGGCUUUUUUUUUUUUUUUUUUUUUUUUUUUUUCCAAAAUAGCUUGGAAUUUAAACUUUUUAGCUAAGGAUUAAACUAAUUGCUUCUGCAAAAUGCUGUUCCCACACCAUCUAGUGCGCAUCUGUUAAGUGGGGAGGGAUAACUGAACCAGUUGCCAGAUGGUCCCCUGGAUUUGAGUGGCCAGGAGCCAAGGAGCUGCCAGUUGGCGGUUUGUGGGGUUCUAGCAAAGAAGUCACGCUACGUGCACAUUCCCCUCGGUUACUCCUUUCUGCCUUAAUGAAGAUACUGUCUAAUGCAAUAAAGCAGCCAUUAGCCUCCUCCCUGCCCUCCCC
rnacentral:lncRNA from 1 species